rnacentral:rRNA from 1 species
GGACCAAGGAGUUUAGCGUGUGCGCGAGUCAUUGGGUGAAAAACCUAAAGGCGGAAUGAAAGUAAAGGAAAUACGCUUUCUGAGGGAGGAUGGGUUACCUGCCUUCACAGGCGGUGCCCCGCACUCCCGGGGCGUCUCUUUCUCAUUACGAGUGGAGGCGCACCUAUAGCGUACACGCUGAUACCCGAAAGAUGGUGAACUAUGCCUGGCCAGGACGAAGCCAGGGGAAACCCUGGUGGAGGUCCGCAGCGAUUCUGACGUGCAAAUCGAUCGUCGGAGCUUGGUAUAGGGGCGAAAGACCAAUCGAACCAUCUAGUAGCUGGUUCCCUCUGAAGUUUCCCUCAGGAUAGCUUGCGCUCGGUUGAGACGAGUCUCAUCCGGUAGAGCGAAUGAUUAGAGGCCUUGGGGUCGAAACGACCUCAACCUAUUCUCAAACUCCAAAUAGAUGAGAUCCCCGGCUUGCUUGAAAGUGAAGCCGGGACUCGGAUCAGAGUGCCAAGUGGGCCAAUUUUGGUAAGCAGAACUGGCGCUGUGGGAUGAACCAAACGCAGAGUUAAGGCGCCUGAAUCGACGCUCAUGUGAAACCAUGAAAGGCGUUGGUUGCUUAAGACAGCAGGACGGUGGCCAUGGAAGUCGGAA